rnacentral:rRNA from 1 species
AGCAGUCGCCACGGGAAUACGUAGGGUGCGAGCGUUAAUCGGAAUUACUGGGCGUAAAGCGUGCGCAGGCGGUUUUGUAAGACAGGCGUGAAAUCCCCGGGCUCAACCUGGGAAUGGCGCUUGUGACUGCAAAGCCAGAGUGCGGCAGAGGGGGAUGGAAUUCCGCGUGUAGCAGUGAAAUGCGUAGAUAUGCGGAGGAACACCGAUGGCGAAGGCAAUCCCCUGGGCCUGCACUGACGCUCAUGCACGAAGGCGUGGGGAGCAAACGGGAUUAGAUACCCCGGUAGUCCCUGUCUCUUAUAC